rnacentral:rRNA from 1 species
GCGUGAGUGAUGAAGGCCCUAGGGUUGUAAAGCUCUUUUACCAGGGAUGAUAAUGACAGUACCUGGAGAAUAAGCUCCGGCUAACUCCGUGCCAGCAGCCGCGGUAAUACGGAGGGAGCUAGCGUUGUUCGGAUAUACUGGGCGUAAAGCGCACGUAGGCGGCACGAUAAGUCAGGGGUGAAAUCCCGGAGCUCAACUCCGGAACUGCCUUUGAAACUGUCGCGCUUGAAUUCUGGAGAGGCGAGUGGAAUUCCGAGUGUAGAGGUGAAAUUCGU